rnacentral:lncRNA from 1 species
AUGUUUUCAGAUGAGAAAGGUUUCCAGGGAUCCAGGACUAUGGGGUGCAGGGUUUGGAAUUCCAGGGAUCCAGGGCUGUGGGGUGCAGGGUUUGGAAUUCCAGGGAUCCAGGGCUGUGGGGUGCAGGGUUUGGGAUUCCAGGGAUCCAGGAAUAUGGGGUGCAGGGUCUGGGAUUCCAGGGAUCCAGGGCUAUGGGGUGCAGGGUUUGGGAUUCCAGGGAUCCAGGGCUAUGGGGUGCAAGGUUUGGGAUUCCAGGGAUCCAGGGCUGUGGGGUGCAGGGUUUGGGAUUCCAGGGAUCCAGGAGUAUGGGGGUGCAGGCUUUGGAAUUCCAGGGAUCCAGGAGUAUGGGGUGCAGGGUUUGGUAUUCCAGGGAUCCAGGGCUAUGGGGUGCAGGGUUUGGGAUUCCAGGAGUAUGGGGGUGCAGGGUUUGGGAUUCCAGGGAUCUGGGCCACCAGGGAUGUGGGGUGCAGGGUUUGGGAUUCCAGGUAUCCAGGGCUGUGGGGUGCAGGGUUUGGGAUUCCAGGGAUCCAGGAGUAUGGGGUGCAGGGUUUGGGAUUCCAGGGAUCCAGGGCUAUGGGGUGCAGGGUCUGGGAUUCCAGGGAUCUGAGAGUGUGGGGUCUGGCAUUCCAGGGAUCUGGGCUGGCAGGGAUAUGGGGUGCAGGGUGCUGCGUGUGCACAGUGCUGGGGUGCAGCACAGUGGCUUUUCCCCGUGCCAAGGCCAGGAUACCCCUUGGUUCUGCUCUGGGGUUCCCUCUCACAGGAGUUCUCUCCCUUCUGCUCCCGCAGCUGCUGUUGCAGGGCUGGUGCUGGCCCAGCUCCGGGGGAGGUUCAGCAGGGCUGGAUGAGGGAAUUUUUCCACUUUCAGCACAGGCACUGCUGUGGGUGUGCACUAGAGGGUGGUGCAGCCUUGUGUGCCCUGAAAUCCUCCCGGACUGGCACACGGGGAGCUGGAAUCGCUCCCUGCUCACACUUAGAGGUGACAAUUUGUCUUUACAGCACGGAUGUGAUCCCUGUGACACGAACAAACCGUGUGUUCUCUCCAAACCCACUCAGCCUGACUGCUGA